ensembl:ncRNA F46F3.8 ncRNA
ACAUGUAAAACAGUAAAUAUGCAAAUAUAAAUCUAGCGACGAGCAAUGAAUCUGAAUGAAGGUCCCAGUGUUUUUGAAUGAGAAGGGAUAUAUUGAAUGGUCCAUUGAUCUGAUGGUCACCUGGCCUCCAUAUUGUUUGUUGGGAACAUGUGGAUAACUGUAGAGAAACUGCAACAUUAUGACAGACGGUUCACACCUUUUUCAGAAUUGAU